rnacentral:rRNA from 1 species
GAAACGGUAGCUAAUACCGCAUAACGUCGCAAGACCAAAGAGGGGGACCUUCGGGCCUCUUGCCAUCGGAUGUGCCCAGAUGGGAUUAGCUAGUAGGUGGGGUAACGGCUCACCUAGGCGACGAUCCCUAGCUGGUCUGAGAGGAUGACCAGCCACACUGGAACUGAGACACGGUCCAGACUCCUACGGGAGGCAGCAGUGGGGAAUAUUGCACAAUGGGCGCAAGCCUGAUGCAGCCAUGCCGCGUGUAUGAAGAAGGCCUUCGGGUUGUAAAG